rnacentral:rRNA from 1 species
GCCAGACUCCUACGGGAGGCAGCAGUGGGGAAUAUUGCACAAUGGGGGGAACCCUGAUGCAGCGACGCCGCGUGAGUGAAGAAGUAUUUCGGUAUGUAAAGCUCUGUCAGCAGGGAAGAAGAAAGACGGUACCUGACCAAGAAGCCCCGGCUAACUACGUGCCAGCAGCCGCGGUAAUACGUAGGGGGCAAGCGUUAUCCGGAUUUACUGGGUGUAAAGGGAGCGUAGACGGCGAUGCAAGCCAGAUGUGAAAGCCCGGGGCUCAACCCCGGGACUGCAUUUGGAACUGUGUGGCUGGAGUGUCGGAGAGGCAGGCGGAAUUCCUAGUGUAGCGGUGAAAUGCGUAGAUAUUAGGAGGAACACCAGUGGCGAAGGCGGCCUGCUGGACGAUGACUGACGUUGAGGCUCGAAAGCGUGGGGAGCAAACAGGAUUAGAUACCCUGGUACC